UACGUAGGGUGCAGGCGUUAAUCGGAAUUACUGGGCGUAAAGGGUUUGUAGGUGGCCACUUAAGUCAGACGUGAAAUCCCUCAGCUUAACUGGGGAACUGCGUCUGAUACUGAGUGGCUUGAGUGCAGGAGAGGAACGCGGAAUUCCAGGUGUAGCGGUGAAAUGCGUAGAUAUCUGGAGGAACACCGGUGGCGAAGGCGGCGUUCUGGACUGUAACUGACACUGAAAAACGAAAGCCAGGGGAGCAAACGGG
rnacentral:rRNA from 1 species